rnacentral:lncRNA from 1 species
GCUUUCAACACAGAGAUGCUUCUGAGAUGUACCCACCACCCGCUAGCCCAUUUCCUAAGUUGAGUCUCUUCAGAAAAGAAGUCUCUCCUGAUGACCUCACUGCAAUUCUAAAAUGCAGUGGGUCAUCUGGGGUCCCAAGCAUCAUCGAAAAAUGUCAUUUGAAUCGGUCUUAUUAGCAGAGUGCAUGAGCUGUUGAUGCAGCCUACUCACACACAAGUCAGGGAUUUAAUUCUGGACUGUCUACACUGGAGGGGGAAUUUCAGUAGCAGUACAAACGCCUCCAGAUCUCUAUCAGAGGAGCAAAGCCAUAGAGGCCUGCCACAUAGCAAUGUAAUCUGGAAAUUUAUACUCUGACUUUUGGCUAAAAGGGAAAAUGAUUUACAUAAUCUCUUGGCUCCAGAAGCGCUUGAGAAGCAAGCCCAUUUUGGUCCUUCAUAUGAAGACCAGGUUUUACAUCUUAACACUUUGCCGACCUUUGGCCUUGCAUUGAACAGAAGUCUGAUUUGAGCCUAGGUCAAAUAUAUAUAGAGAGAUAUAUAUAGAUAUAGAUAUAUAUAAAGAUAGAAUCUGGUCAUGGCGCCUGAGGAUAUUACCC